rnacentral:tRNA from 1 species
GGGGAAGUGGCUCAGAGGUAGAGUGCUUGCCUUGCAAGCAUGAGGCCCUGGGUUCAAUUCCUCAGCACCA